UACGAAGGGGGCUAGCGUUGUUCGGAAUUACUGGGCGUAAAGCGCGCGCAGGCGGUUCUUCAAGUCAGAGGUGAAAGCCCAGAGCUCAACUCUGGAAUGGCCUUUGAGACUAGAGAACUAGGGUACGGGAGAGGUGAGUGGAAUUCCGAGUGUAGAGGUGAAAUUCGUAGAUAUUGGGAAGAACACCGGUGGCGAAGGCGGCUCACUGGCUCGUAACUGACGCUCAGGCGCGACAGCGUGGGGAUCAAACAGG
rnacentral:rRNA from 1 species